AUACAUAGGUGGCAAGCGUUAUCCGGAAUUAUUGGGCGUAAAGAGUGAGCAGGCGGCAGGUUAAGUUUGGAGUGAAAGCGUGGGGCUUAACCCCAUACAGCUUCAAAAACUGGCCAGCUAGAGUACGAGAGAAGUAAGCGGAAUUCCAUGUGUAGCGGUGAAAUGCGUAGAUAUAUGGAGGAACACCGGUGGCGAAGGCGGCUUACUAGCUCGAUACUGACGCUCAGUCACGAAAGCGUGGGGAGC
rnacentral:rRNA from 1 species